ensembl:lncRNA
GCAGCUUUUGCCAUGAAUUUUCAUUUAUUUUUGUUUCAAAGACUGAAAGGAUUUUUUUUUCAAAAUUUAGCAUUUUAGAGCACUUUUCACCUUUGAUCUGAUCUAAGUUUUGUUUUGAGAUACACAGUAGACAGUUUUGACAUUUUAUAUUGUUUUAUAAAGAAAAAAAAGAGAGGAGACAAAACAGACAGGUAUUGACUUUUCUGAGUCAAAGGAAUGGAUUAUUGGUUUUAUUCUUCAGGCAUCCUUAAUUGGUACUUAUAAAAUUAAGAGUUUCUCAUCAGCAAACGCAGAGCUUGACUGCUACAGAGUAUGUGAGCCUGAUCAGGAAGCGUGGAGUGGGUGGGAGUGAGGUUGGGGUACCGCGGCAGGGACCUCUCAGCUGACGGCCAAACUUGGCACAGUAUUUUUUUUUUCUUUUUUCUUUUUUCUUUUUUUUUAUGGGAAGCCUAUUUUGUCCAGUGGCUGAUGAAAUUCAAAAUGGUCCCCUGAACAUCUCUCUGAAACCAGCAGUUCAGAAACAGCGGAGUCAGUAGCUCACUUAACCUUAGUACCCUACUGCCUCCCGGGCAGCAACACCCCAGCCCAGAGCACCCCCAAAUGCCAGACUCUUCUUUGAGCAGAAUAGAAGCUGCUAAGAGGGGCUUCGUUGCAGGACCAGCGGUUUGUGCUUUAAAAGGAUGCUUUCCCAGGAGAAUUUCAAAGCCAAAGAACCACCUGUUGUCAUUUUCCAUUCACUACCGUAAGUGGAAAUGUAUCUCCGGUUUCCUGAAGUUAAGAGUAGAGAAUGUGCAUUUGCCUCUUUGUUUUUUAGAAAGAGAAAAAAAGUUCAGAGAGGCAGACAUUAGGCACAGCAAGUAAGAAGCCACUUGGGAGGCUGCAUCCCACGUCAGGGAGCGGGUUCCAGUUCCAGUGCUGCUCUUGAUUCCAGCUCCCUGCUAAUGCACACCCUUGGAGGCGGCAGAUGAUGGCGCAAGUAGUUGGGUCCCUAACACCCACUUGGGAGACUCAGACUGAGUUUUCAGAUCUCAGCUUCAGGUUGGCCCCACCCUGGCUUUUGCAGGCAUUUGGGGAAUGAGCCAGCAGAUGGAAGACAGCUCUCACGGUCUCGUUCUCACUCUCUCUCUCAAAACUAGAUUUUAAAGAAAUUCAGAGUUCUCAAUUUCAAUUCUUAAGAAGUGAAAUUUUAAAGUCUUUAUUUAUUUGAAAGGCAGAGUAACAGGGAGGAGUGUGUGUGUAGGGGUGGGGGAGAUAUUAUUUUCCAUCUGCUAGUUCACUCCCUAAAUGGCCACAACAGCCAAGGCUGGCCCAGGUUGAAGCCAGGAGAUAGAAAUUCCACCCAGGUCUCCCACAUGGAUAGCAGGGCCCAAAUACUUGGGCCAUCAUUUACUGCCUUCCCAGCACACUAGCAGAAAGCUGGAUCAGAAACAGAGCAACUAGGAGUUGAACCAGCACUCUGAUAUAGGAUGCAAGCAGCAGCUUAACCCACAACCUUGGCCCAGGCAAUCCUGAUUCUGAAUCCAGCCUGCAUUGCUUCUUAACGAUGAGAAGAGAAAACAGUUGCUUAGUCUCUCUGAGCCUCAGUCUCUCAUGCUAAUAUGGGAGAUUCAAUUGUCCAUUGCACCAUAACGAACCUCCCCAAAACUUAGUAGCUUAAAAUAUCAACAACCAAAUGUUUCCCCAAGAUUCUGCUGUUUGGCGGAGCUCAGCAUGAAUGGCUCACCCCUGCCUCACGUGCUGUUGUCAGGAUCCUCUGGAAGUACAGCUGGGAACGGAACUCCCAGGAUGGGCCCACGGGCAUGGCUGGAAUUCGAUGCUACCAGCGGGAGCAUUUCUGUUUCUCCCUUUCUUCUAGUAGUUUAGACGUCCAUCUGUGCUGCAUUGUGUCUGGGUUCUAAGACAGCACAGCAGAAGCUACCUGGCCUCUUUAAAGCCUAGCCCCAGAACUAGCCAAAGGUCACUUCCAGCUCAUUUUGUCAAUGAAAGCAAAAUCCAGUGAAGGGGAAAUAGACUCUGCCUCUCGAUGGAAGGAAUGACAGAGAAUCUAUGGCCAUUUUUAAUCCAUCACCAUGAGUAUAUGUACAUUGUUAAGAGAAUUAAAGGAGAUAACGGGAGCCAGUAAGCCUGCAACAAAUACUAGCUGCUGAUUACCACUAUGCAAUAGUGGAUAGCAUGAUGCAAUCAGCCUUGCCAUCCAUGACCUGGAUCAGCCAAUUACCCUGGCUAGCUGGUUCCUGGCCCCUUCUUGGUGUGCCUGGUCCUGUCUACAUAGGGCUCACCCCACAGGAGGUGCUAAAACAAAGACACUAACAGCAACGGGUUUUUUUUUGUUUGUUUUUUGUUUUUUGUUUUUGACAGAGUGGACAGUGAGAGAGAGAGACAGAGAGAAAGGUCUUCCUUUUGCCGUUGGUUCACUCUCCAAUGGCCGCCGCGGCCGGCGCGCUGCGGCCGGCACACCGCGCUGAUCCGAUGGCAGGAGCCAGGAGCCAGGUGCUUUUCCUGGUCUCCCAUGGGGUGCAGGGUCCAAGCACUUGGGCCAUCCUCCACUGCACUCCCUGGCCAUAGCAGAGAGCUGGCCUGGAAGAGGGGCCACCGGGACAGAAUCCGGCGCCCCGACCGAGACUAGAACCCGGUGUGCCGGCGCCCCUAGGCGGAGGAUUAGCCUAGUGAGCUGCGGCGCCAGCCAACAACCGGGUUUUUUUGACAGUGUUCACUAAAUUCUAAGCAGUGUCCUAAGCUACAUUUGGGAGUGGAGCUGACCUUAUUUUGCAGACACUCAUAGGUGCUGAAGCACAGAGAAAGAAAGUGCUGUGCCCAACGCCUGCUAAGCAGUGGAGCUUGGAUAUGAAGACAUGAGUCCAGCAGCCCGACUGAACACGUGCUUGUCUCGUCAGUGCAGUGAGCCUAUAGAGCCAGAGGGUUUCGUCACCCUAGGCCCCUUCUCACUCUAAAGUUACAUGAUGCUUCCAUGUACAAAAUCCAGAAAUAAUCAGUGAAUCUUGGGUUCUUGGUACAAAAUGCAAAGUUGAGAGAUGGAGUCCAGUGUGAUGGACUGCUUGAAAUCUAGCCAGAAUAAUUCCUGCACAUUGGCUAACCUCAUCAUUAGCUAAAAUGGGGAAGAACUGUCUGCAUGGAUGGCUAUAUUUUCCAUUUGGAUAUUCCACUGUGGUUCUUAUUUCAAUGACUUCUCCAGUGUUCCAAUAUUUUCUGUAAAAUGGGCAUGAUGACAAUGAAUGAGGUUGAAUUCAUCACCACUGGCAACUUUGAUUGGCAAUGAAAGUCUCUGUACAAACACCAGGUAUUCUUGUUUUCAAUGAAUUACUAUCACAAGGUACCCUGAUUCAUUUUUAUAAGAACUUAAUUUCCAGCUGUAUCAUCUCCUGACACAGUUCCCUCUAAAAUCAUGUUUUAGAUGUUUGUCCAUGCUAUCUCCUAUCCAUUCGUAAUCCAAGAUCACCAAUAUUUUUAAAAUGCCAGCAUGUUUCUCCUCUUACUCCUUUCUGAAAUAAAAAGUGAAAGUGGAAAAGCA